AGUGAACGCUGGCGGUAGGCCUAACACAUGCAAGUCGAACGGCAGCACAGUAAGAGCUUGCUCUUACGGGUGGCGAGUGGCGUACGGGUGAGGAAUACAUCGUAAUCUACUUUUUCGUGGGGGAUAACGUAGGGAAACUUACGCUAAUACCGCAUACGACCUACGGGUGAAAGCAUGGGAUCUUCGGACCUUGCGCGAUUGAAUGAGCCGAUGUCGGAUUAGCUAGUUGGCGGGGUAAAGGCCCACCAAGGCGACGAUCCGUAGCUGGUCUGAGAGGAUGAUCAGCCACACUGGAACUGAGACAGGGUCCAGACUCCUACGGGAGGCAGCAGUGGGGAAUAUUGGACAAUGGGCGGAAGCAUGAUCCAGCCAUACCGCGUGGGUGAAGAAGGCCUUCGGGUUGUAAAGACCUUUUGUUGGGAAAGAAAAGCAGCAGGUUAAUACCCCGCUGUUCUGACGGUACCCAAAGAAUAAGCACCGGCCAACUUCGUG
rnacentral:rRNA from 1 species